rnacentral:rRNA from 1 species
AUACGUAGGGGGCGAGCGUUGUCCGGAAUGAUUGGGCGUAAAGGGCGCGUAGGCGGCGCGGUAAGUCUGGAGUGAAAGUCCUGCUUUCAAGGUGGGAAUUGCUUUGGAUACUGCCGCGCUUGAGUGCAGGAGAGGUUAUCGGAAUUCCCGGUGUAGCGGUGAAAUGCGUAGAGAUCGGGAGGAACACCAGUGGCGAAGGCGGGUAACUGGACUGCAACUGACGCUGAGGCGCGAAAGUGUGGGGAGCAAACAGGAUUAGAUACCCUGGUAGUCCACACUGUAAACGAUGAAUGCUAGGUGUAAGAGGUGUCGACCCCUUUUGUGCCGGAGUCAACACAAUAAGCAUUCCGCCUGGGGAGUACGGCCGCAAGGUUGAAACUUAAAGGAAUUGACGGGG